UGGGGAAUCUUCCGCAAUGGACGAAAGUCUGACGGAGCAACGCCGCGUGAGUGAAGAAGGUUUUCGGAUCGUAAAACUUCUGGUCUUUUGGGGCGAACGUGAGUAUGGUGAACAAUCAUAGUCAGUGACGGUACCAAAGGAGGAAGCCACGGCUAACUACGUGCCAGCAGCCGCGGUAAUACGUAGGUGGCAAGCGUUGUCCGGAAUUAUUGGGCGUAAAGAGCGCGUAAGGCGGGAUAGUCAGUCUGUUGUAAAAGUGCGGGGCUCAACCCCGUGAUCGCAAUGGAAACAGCUAUUCUUGAAGUGCAGGAGAGGAAAGUGGAAAUUCCCAGUGUAGCGGUGAAAUGCGUAGAUAUUGGGAGGAACACCAGUGGCGAAGGCGACUUUCUGGACUGUGUCUGACGCUGAGGCGCGAAAGCCA
rnacentral:rRNA from 1 species